UACAGAGGUCUCAAGCGUUGUUCGGAUUCAUUGGGCGUAAAGGGUGCGUAGGCGGCACGGUAAGUCGGGUGUGAAAUCUCGGGGCUUAACUCCGAAACUGCAUUCGAUACUGCCGUGCUUGAGGACUGGAGAGGAGACUGGAAUUUACGGUGUAGCGGUGAAAUGCGUAGAUAUCGUAAGGAAGACCAGUGGCGAAGGCGGGUCUCUGGACAGUUCCUGACGCUGAGGCACGAAGGUCAGGGGAGCAAAACGGG
rnacentral:rRNA from 1 species